UACAGAGGGUGCGAGCGUUAAUCGGAAUUACUGGGCGUAAAGCGUGCGUAGACGGCUAUCUAAGUCGGGUGUGAAAGCCCCGGGCUCAACCUGGGAAUUGCAUUCGAGACUGAAUAGCUAGGGUGCGGUAGAGGGAAGCGGAAUUUCCGGUGUAGCGGUGAAAUGCGUAGAUAUGUGGAGGAACACCGAUGGCGAAGGCAGCCCCCUGGGAUGUGACUGACGCUCAUGUACGAAAGCGUGGGGAGCAAACAGG
rnacentral:rRNA from 1 species